GGAGAGUAACGCGUGGAUACCUACCCCCUGGACCGGGAUAGCGGUGAGAAAUCGCCGGUAAUACCGGAUAACGUCUCCGGACCAAAGGUGUGAUUCCGCCGGGGGAUGAGUCCGCGUCCUAUUAGCUUGUUGGUGGGGUAAUGGCCUACCAAGGCUGGGAUGGGUACCGGGUGUGAGAGCAUGGCCCGGCUCACUGGGACUGAGACACUGCCCAGACACCUACGGGUGGCUGCAGUCNAGAAUCUUCGGCAAUGGGCGCAAGCCUGACCGAGCGACGCCGCGUGCGGGAUGAAGGCCUUCGGGUUGUAAACCGCUGUCAGAGGGGAGGAAAUGCAUGGGGGUUCUCUCUCAUGUUUGACCUAUCCUCAGAGGAAGUACGGGCUAAGUUCGUGCCAGCAGCCGCGGUAAUACGAACCGUACGAACGUUAUUCGGAAUCACUGGGCUUAAAGAGUGCGUAGGCGGCUUGGCAAGUUGGGUGUGAAAUCCCUCGGCUCAACCGAGGAACUGCGCUCAAAACUGCCAGGCUUGAGAGAGAUAGAGGUGAGCGGAACUAAUGGUGGAGCGGUGAAAUGCGUUGAUAUCAUUAGGAACACCGGUGGCGAAAGCGGCUCACUGGGUCUUUUCUGACGCUGAGGUACGAAAGCUAGGGGA
rnacentral:rRNA from 1 species